rnacentral:rRNA from 1 species
UACGUAGGGUGCAAGCGUUGUCCGGAAUUACUGGGCGUAAAGCGCGCGCAGGCGGUUCUCCAAGUCAGUGGUGAAAGCCCGGAGCUCAACUCCGGAACUGCCAUUGAAACUGUUGAACUUGAGGACGAGAGAGGUGAGUGGAAUUCCCAGUGUAGAGGUGAAAUUCGUAGAUAUUGGGAAGAACACCGGUGGCGAAGGCGGCUCACUGGCUCGUUUCUGACGCUCAGGCGCGACAGCGUGGGGAUCAAACAGG